UUCAAGGUGUGGCUUAAGCAUUUCAGACAGGCCUGCCCCCAGCCCCUGCCUCAGUGCCGUGUAGCUGUGUCAACAGGCCUUUGAAGUUCACACACACCAGCUGCUGUUCAGCAGCCCCUGGGAUCAUCUCCACCACCUUUUGUCACAGGAAAUCGGGAGAGGCACAUGGAAAGCUGGCAUUGCCUGAGGACAAAAAUGAGGAAACCAGGGCACCAUAAGCUGAACAACUUGUCAAAAAAUUAGCAAUGGACCGAGGAUUCAAAUCCAAACCGUGUGCCUCCAGAGCCUAGGUUUUCACUGUGACUACCUCUCCAGGACUCCUUUUGACCUCUCCAUGGAAGGCCGAUCUCUAGAAGAAUCAUGAUGUUUCCAAGGCAACACAUGGCUUGGGGAAAUUGGAGAGAAUAGUCUUGACGCAAAGGGAUAACAUCCCAGCUACCGCAACACUGCUAUUCAGCACGCAAACGUCAGAUGUUCAGAGGGACCCAGUCAUCUUGAUUGGAAUUGAGUGCUGGGUGAGAUUUGAUGCUGUGAUUUUAUCCACCAUGGAGUUGGAGCUGUACGGUGCAUUGGAGCAGAGAGUACUGAGGAAGGGUUGGCAACGAGAUCAAAUGACAUAUUGGAUAUGAAAAGACUUAAAAACCAAUAAAGGACAGACAGAGGAAGGGAGCUGGCCUGCACUGGAUAUACCAGUAUUUCAGUUCUCUCACAGGGGCUGAAGAAUCCUCAUUUGGACAGAUGGAUCUGGGGCAGAGAGGACCAACACGCCACACAGGCUUAUUGCCUCCUCUGUGCCCUGACCCUGGGCAGACGAUGCUAAAUGAUCCUCCUACCACUCCCUAGGGGGCCACCUUCCAAGCACCGAAU